rnacentral:rRNA from 1 species
AACGAACGCUGGCGGCAGGCUUAACACAUGCAAGUCGAGCGCCCCGCAAGGGGAGCGGCAGACGGGUGAGUAACGCGUGGGAACAUGCCCAAAGGUACGGAACAACUCCGGGAAACUGGAGCUAAUACCGUAUGUGACCGAGAGGUGAAAGAUUUAUCGCCUUUGGAUUGGCCCGCGUUGGAUUAGCUAGUUGGUGGGGUAAAGGCCUACCAAGGCGACGAUCCAUAGCUGGUCUGAGAGGAUGAUCAGCCACACUGGGACUGAGACACGGCCCAGACUCCUACGGGAGGCAGCAGUGGGGAAUAUUGGACAAUGGGCGCAAGCCUGAUCCAGCCAUGCCGCGUGAGUGAUGAAGGCCUUAGGGUUGUAAAGCUCUUUCGCCAGGGACGGUAAUGACGGUACCUGGAUAAGAAGCCCCGGCUAACUUCGUGCCAGCCGCCGCGGUAAGAC